CCCGUGGCAUCCCCUUAACCUUUGGGAGGAGCUAACUAGCGGUGGCCUAGUUAGGUUAAAUGUUUCGAUGAAACAUCCAGGAGUCUUAUCUUGUCCGUGAAAUAGAGAGAAAGAGAGGCGGAGAGAGAGCUUUGUCGGCGGCAAGAAAAGGAGAGAAAAGAGGGAGAAAUUUGUGGAGAAGUUUGAGGGAAGAAGUGGGGUUUUGCUAAGGGAGUGUUUGGCAAGGUCUCGGUGAGCUUAAUCCAUCAAUUUGGUGCACCUAUUCUUCUAUUCAAGCCUGGAGAUUUCUAGGGUUUGUUCAAAUCCUAGUUGUGAGUAUUUCUACUCUUGUUCUUGAUUGAUUAUUGUGAAUCUCGUCUAGUAUUUACUAUUAAGUGAAUGAAUUGUUGAUCCAUCCAUUGGAUCAGUGUAAUUUAGGCAAAUUGUUAUCCAAGUGUUAUAUGCACCUUGAAGAAUAGUGUAUCCCCAAAUUGGGAGUUGUGUGUAACCCAUUGUUUGAUUAUAGUGGAAGAUUUGCCUGUAAUUUUUUACCCUUCACCUUGGAGGGGUUUUUCCACGUAAUUUCCGGUGUCGUGUGAUUGCUUCUUAUAUCUUCACAGUUGUGUUAUUUCCGCAUUGUGUUUCAUUGAUUGUGUGGUUUUCGUAUUGCACGUAGCGGUUCGGAUUUUGCAAGUCUCCCCAACACAUGAAAGUCUUCAUAUUCUUCAGUGUUGUUCGUUUUAGUUUUAGUUUUCUUUUAGGAAAGCCACUGACAAGUUAUCAUUAUGUGAAUUUGGCCACGAGUACGUACCAUUAAUGGUCCAUUAUUAAUUUUGAAUUCCAUGAUCAAUAAUAAUAGCGUAUGUGUGUGUGUUGUAGGGUGAAUGUUAGUGUAAGCGUGCCAUGUGCACGUAUGGUUUAUAGAGUUAGAGAAUGACUUGAGUCGAGUAUAUAAUCUGGAGACAUCUCUGUAACAAAUUAUCUUUCCUAAUAUUCAAUUGAAUUUAAAUCGUUCACAGUAGAAAUGUGGAUUCUCACGAAUUUAUUAUGGUAUCAGUCCUGAGAAAUCAAUUUCUCAUGGGUAUCGAUCCAUAGCUUCCACUGUUCUUCAUCUCUGAUUCAUCUUCAAGAAGAUUUGUUCUUCAAUUUGAUAAGGUUUUCAAGAAGUGAAGAUUUGCAGGAAUUGGUGAGGUGUUGGAUUUGAUCCUGAUACUUAUUGCCACGUCGUCAAUUAGGAUCAAGCAUGUUUUGAGAUCUAAAAUUCAGUGUUAGGGUUUGAGCUCUUGGUAUUUCAAUUUCUUGUUGGUGUAUGGAUUGAAAUCUCUUACCUCAUCAACUAUCGAUAGAUUUUAUCUUUAGAUUACUCAGUUUCAUCUAAAUCUUUGUUCCUAAUCUCCAGUUUCAUCUUUAGAUUACUUUAGAUUUGAUCUCAUGUGUUCAAUUUCUACAUCACUAUUUCAACAAAACUCAAUUUCAUCUGCAAAUUCUGUUUUCAUCAUAACUUGGUAUGAUUUUGACCUAGUUCUUUUAUCAAAUCUUACUGGUAUUGAUUCCUGGAUCUAUUUGGUCUGAUCAUGCCUAUUUCUGCUACAAUAGUUAGUUAGGAAGAAGCUUAAUUUUGUUCCAUUGAAUGGUGGGAAAAUAUUCCUCUUAAAUCCAGUAGAAUGUUGGGGUACGUGUGUGUAUUGAUUGUUUCCUGCAUCAUUGAGUGCUUAAUUUUGCUUCUGUUAGAUCCUCCUCUCAAUGUUACUUUGGUAUUGUCCUCACAAUAGUGGUAUGUGAGUGAGUUGGUUUGUGUGUGUAAUGAUGGAACUUAGGAUGCUGUUUCGGGAUUGAAAUUGGUGAGAUAUAUAAGUACAGAUUGAUGUUCUUCUUGAUGAGUCUACAUUCAAUUCUGAUGUAUCCUGGUUUAGUUAUCUUUACUGUUGUUUUUUACUUCAUAUCCUAGUCAGUUUCCUAACUUUCAUAUUGGUACAUAAUAAUUGGUAUUUCAUCUGAAUCUCUGCUGGUAAUCUCCAAUUUCAUCUUUACAUUACUUUAGAUUUGAUCUCAUGUGUUCAAUUUCUACAUCACUAUCUCAACAAAACUCAAUUUCAUCUGCAAAUUCUGUUUUCAUCAUAACUUGGUAUGAUUUUGACCUAGUUCUUUUAUCAAAUCUUACUGGUAUUGAUUUCUGGAUCUAUUCGGUCCGAGCGUGACUAUUUCUGCUAUAAUAGUUAGUUAGGAAGAAGCUUAAUUUUGUUCCAUUGAAUAGUGGGGAAAGAUUCCUCUUAAAUCCAGUAGAAUGUUUGGGUACGUGUGUGUGUGUUGAUUGUUUGCUGCACCAUUGAGUGCUUAAUUUUGCUUCUGUUAGCUCCUCCUCUCAAUUACUUUGGUACAAUCCUCUCAGUAGUGGUAUGUGAGUGAGUUGUUUUGUGUGUGUAAUGAUGGAACUGAGGAUGCUGUUUCGGGAUUGAAAUUGGUGAGAAAUAAGUACAGAUUGAUGUGCUUCUUGAUGAGUCUACAUUCAAUUCUGAUGUAGCCCGACUUAGUUAUCUUUACUGUUGUUUUUUACUUCAUAUCCUAGUCAGUUUCCUAUCUUUCAUAUUGGUACAUAAUAAUUGGUACUUUCAUAAGUACUGCAAUAAGAUUCUUCAACUGUUUCUCUACAUUGUUAAUUGAUGGAUAUCAACUACAGUUCUUAUGUGUUUAACGAUGCUUUGGCUCUGGUUUGUUGCCUAAGUGGAUCUAUGUAGAGAGAGAAUGUUUUGGUGCUUAUUAUUUCCUAUGCAGUAGUAUUAAUUAUGCCCACUUCAGUUUUAAUUGCUGGAACCAGUUGAGAGGAUGGUGAUCUUGCAAUCUGUGAGCAAGUGUGUUGUAUAAGUUCUUUUGAAAAUAUUUUUGCCAGCAAGUAAUGGUGGUUACAGAUUUGCAUAAGCUUUCAGCUCCAUUCUGGUAGGAGAAUGUUACAUAACCAUGUUCUGUAGAAUAUCUAUUGAGGCUACAGUGGUGUAGUCUUCUACACAACAUCCAAGGAUAGUUCAAUGCAGUCACUACUCAUCAUGGCUUUCCUGCAAGAUUUUUUGUUGAUUUUGCUGCUGCUAACGUUUCAGUGAACCGGAAUCCCUAUUCUCUAUGUGCCAGAGCUGCUAAUAAUGAUAAAUUCCUACUUCUGGUUUACUUUUUCUCUUGCACUAUCUCAAUCCAGAACUACAACAUCACCUAUUUUACAACUACUCAUGAUGUUGUAUACUUCUCAAUCUGCUGCUGCACCAUCAAUGCAAUUACUAUCUGCUCCAACUGUUGCUACCUAGAGGCUAUGCAAACUACUUCUACAACAUCAAGGGCAACUUCUUUUUCACCUGCUACAUUACUUCUUAAUUGCAAAAUGUACUACUAGACUCAACUGAUGUUGUUGCUUGCUCCCAUCUCCUGUUUUUUGUGAACUGCAGCAUCACCUAACUCGCAGCUGUAGGGUGAAUUGGUGUUUGCUUAUACUCUGCAACUUCAAUUGGUUUUCACUUUAGCGUAUGUAAGUUUGUGUGCGCUGUAGGGUGAACAAGAUCAAUGUACCUUCAAGGCACCUUGACCUUGAGGGAGGGUAAUAGCGUAUGUAAGUGUGUGUGUGUUGUAGAGUGAAUGUUAGUGUAGGCGUGCCAUGUGCACGUAUGGUUUAUAGAGUUAGAGAAUGAGUUGAGUCGAGUAUAUAACCUGGAGACAUCUCUGUAACCGCAUACAUUUUAUUAUUACAUCCAACACUGGAUUGUACACUUACAUCAGAUUAAAAGGAGAGAACACAAUACAAUACGUAGUUAC